UGGGGAAUUUUGGACAAUGGGCGAAAGCCUGAUCCAGCAAUGCCGCGUGUGUGAAGAAGGCCUUCGGGUUGUAAAGCACUUUUGUCCGGAAAGAAAUCCUUGGCUCUAAUACAGUCGGGGGAUGACGGUACCGGAAGAAUAAGCACCGGCUAACUACGUGCCAGCAGCCGCGGUAAUACGUAGGGUGCAAGCGUUAAUCGGAAUUACUGGGCGUAAAGCGUGCGCAGGCGGUUUGCUAAGACCGAUGUGAAAUCCCCGGGCUCAACCUGGGAACUGCAUUGGUGACUGGCAGGCUAGAGUAUGGCAGAGGGGGGUAGAAUUCCACGUGUAGCAGUGAAAUGCGUAGAGAUGUGGAGGAAUACCGAUGGCGAAGGCAGCCCCUGGGCCAAUACUGACGCUCAUGCACGAAAGCGUGGGGAGCAAACAGGAUUAGAUACCCUGGUAGUCCACGCCCUAAACGAUGUCAACUAGUUGUUGGGGAUUCAUUUCCUUAGUAACGUAGCUAACGCGUGAAGUUGACCGCCUGGGGAGUACGGUCGCAAGAUUAAAACUCAAAUGAUUGACGGGGUC
rnacentral:rRNA from 1 species